rnacentral:lncRNA from 1 species
CUGUUGUUCAAAAGGUAGUUUCUGUUUUGUAGGAUACACAGGUUCCGGGAGCUGUUGCAUGACGAUGUGAACAGACUCAGCGCUAUGCUUAACAGUGGUUAUGAUGAAAAUCCUCUGAACAGUCUAUGGCUUUUAAUAAUUCAUGUGAGUUUUAUAACCACAAAGAAAACAUUAAUUUUUAAAAUAAAGACAAGGGACCUAGAUUCCGGGCACUUGAAACUUGCCUCACUCUAAUACAAAACCUUAAUUAAACGGAGAAACAGCCUCCCGAACCCUUCACCGCGCUUCCCUUUUGGCGGACGGGGAUGUCUGUGGUCACCCGGAGUUUGGAGCCAGCGCCCAGGUGCUUUACUCGAAGUGUCCACAAGGUGGCAGGCCAGGCACUUGGAUCCGGGCAGCCAAGGCGCGCGCAGCCGCAGCCGCAGCCGGGCGCCCGGGGCAGUUCGCUGAGGGGAUGUGAAGGUACCUCAGGCUCUGGCGAGCUUCGGGCGUGCCGAGGGGACAGCGUCGGAUUCCCGCUGAUGCCUGCGCUAGAGCCGAAGCCCGAGGCUGUAGGUUCAUAGUUGGAAAGCUGGAAGAUGAUUUCCUUUGGAGACAUCAGAAGGCUGGGGAUGGUGCUGGAG